GGAUGUAAGAGCGAUCUGGCUGUGACGUCGUCACCGUGCUGAUCACCAGGGUUCAUGCUUCCGCUGAUCUGGCUGGCUGGGCCGGUGUCCCUGUCCUCCUUAACCACUUUGCAGGAGUCCCUCAUGAAGCUGUGUGUUUGUUAGGUCAAAGAGGGCAACCAUCCCCGAAAGGGGAGGACUGUUCUUCAAUCAAGGGUAUACCAGUAGCUGUGGCCCAGUGCUAGAACCUCCAAACAAGCUCUCGCAUAGGGUUAAAAAAAAAUUAAAAUAUGUGUCUGAAAACUGAAGGUUUAGGUGUAAAAGUAAAAUGAAUCCAUACUGUGGAUCUUGCUCUCGUU
rnacentral:snRNA from 1 species